CAGGCUGAGCUGAACUAGUUCAGAUGGUGCCAUGCUUCAUGCGGGGUUUUGGAGUAAUCUGAUCUGCAGCAGCUAAUGUGCUGUGGCACUGUUUGUUUAGCCCUGACAGGUUUUGCACUUGUCUCCCCAAUUUUGAACAUUGGGCUGAUACUUGUUUUCACACAUGCCGUUCAGCCCUCCUGCCUCAUUCCCUUUUCUCCGCGCGGCUGUGUUCCAACAGGCUGCAUCAGAAUCCCUGUUCUGUUGCACUGUUGUGGUGCCGACUUGUUUUCACUUCCAUAACAACACUUGCUUCAUCCCCUGACCCAUUUGUGCAAGCACCAAAAGCACCCUAAUACUCAGCACAGCUGUUCACUAACUAAUGUUGUUACAGGUGGCUGAGAAUGUGCUGAAAGGUUUUGUUCUUGGCAAAUAAAAAGCCUCCUAUCUUUGUUCCUUUACACAAAAGGAGAAAAGGAAGUUGAGCUAUUUGACCAGGAUUCUGAGUCUGUAUUAUGUAAAGGCUGAUGAAAGUUGGUCGUCACUCUCCCUCAGUUGCACAUGGGUGUGUGGAUGAGCCCAGUUCUGAUCUUUCUCUGGCAGCAGAAGUUUGCCAUGGCUCAUCUUCUCCUGAGAGAGCUGGAGUUUUGAAGACCGCGUUCCUGAGGCCGUGGGAACAACAUGCUACAGGAAGCCAUAUUUAUGCAGCGAGUCUGGCUGGGUCUUUUAGGAAGAUAGUGAGCUCUGGAGACAGCCACGCAGCUCCGAGUCUCUAAAACGGAGGGAGAUAAAAUGUCACGACCCUCCUGCUAACAUGCCAAGCAGCUGAAUCAGAGGCCUGGAACCUGGUCCUGCUGCCGCCUGGCCUGGAGCUGGGGCUGUCGCCCCGAGAGCAGCAGCUGCUGGGAGCAAGGGCCGCGCAGUGACCUCCCCUCCGACCACGCCCACUUUGCCACCCCCGGGAAAAGGCUGCAGGCUCCCCAGGAGGGCCAUGAGGAUGGCAGCAG